UACGUAGGUGGCAAGCGUUGUCCGGAUUUACUGGGCGUAAAGGGCGUGCAGGCGGUUUGUUAAGUCUAGGGUGAAAGCUCCCGGCUCAACUGGGAGAGGUCCUUGGAUACUGGCGAACUUGAGGGAUGCAGAGGAAAGUGGAAUUCCCGGUGUAGUGGUGAUAUGCGUAGAUAUCGGGAGGAACACCAGUGGCGAAGGCGGCUUUCUGGGCAUUUCCUGACGCUGAGACGCGAAAGCGUGGGGAGCGAACCGGAUUAGAAACCCUAGUAGUCC
rnacentral:rRNA from 1 species